rnacentral:rRNA from 1 species
UACGAAGGGGGCUAGCGUUGUUCGGCGAAUUAUCUGGCGUAAAGCGCACGUAGGCGGAUCGAUCAGUCAGGGGUGAAAUCCCAGGGCUCAACCCUGGAACUCGCCUUUGAUACUGUCGAUCUGGAGUAUGGGAAGAGGUGGAGUUGGAAUUCCGAGUGUAGAGGUAGAAAUUCGUAGAUAUUCGGAGGAACACCAGUGGC